CUUGGCUACUGGACAGCCUUCAUCAGCGACUCAUGAUGCUCAUCUCUACAGCCCAGAGGACAUUUAAAGAACUAAAUAAAGAUAUAGAAGGCGGCCCCUUCUCUCAUCAGUAAGCCUUACCAUCUAAGGGACACUCUGGACAUCGGAAGAUUCCAAGUCGUCUCUUAUGGAGGAUUCAUCUGGCGACUCAGCAGGUUAGUGAAGAAAAAGUUAGAAGAAUAUUACCCUAAAUCACGGUCAGGUGAUAAGGGUCUGCAUUAUGACAGCUGGAACUGAAGUGAAUGAAAUAAAUUUCUCCACAGCCAUUUACUCAUGUGGUAUAUCCUCUGUGCACAUUUCUCAAGUGCUCCUCUGAGGUGUGGACAGCAUUCCACACACAUUGGACAAAGACUGCUGAACCAGCCGAAAUCUACAGAUGAAGACUCCAUAAAAGUAACAAGCAAGGAAAAAUAAACUACAUGACAUGCCUUGA
rnacentral:lncRNA from 1 species